rnacentral:rRNA from 1 species
AUGGGGACGGCAGCCGCCGCCGCCCCUGCAGGCGGCGACCGGCUGAGCAACCUUCCGGACAGCCUCCUGCACAGCGUGCUCUCGUCCCUCCGGUCACGGCAGGCGGUGCACACGAGCCUGUUGUCGCGGCGGUGGAGGCACCUGUGGCGCGCCGUGCCGUGCGUCGACGUCGACCAUCGCGACUUCUUUGACGAACCGCAACCUGUUGCCCCGGGCCAUGGCGCUUCCGACGCGGCCAUGGGCGCCUUCAGAGAAGCGCAGAGGAAGAGGGCCGCCAGGGAGAAGAAGCAGUGGCGCGUCAUGGAGGACUUCGCGGACGCCGUCCUUCCCCUCAACGGCGCGUGGCCCCUCGACGCCUAUCGGCUGCACGUCCGCGACGACCUGCAUCUCCGCAAGGCCAUGGACCGCUGGAUCCGCCGCGGCCUCGCGCGCGGCCCGGCCGAGCUCGGCGUCGCCUUCGACUACGACCACCAUGGCGCCGGUUACAACAGCUGCUGGAAGGAACCUCCGGCGUUUGGCUUCAGCAUCUUCGACGGCGCCGUCACCGGCCGCCUAAGGAGGCUGUCCCUCUCCGGACUGGUCCUGCUGCAGGGAUUCCCGGAGGAGCUGAGAUCCGACUGCCCUCUCCUGGAAGACCUGCGGCUCGUCAACUGCCAGUGCAUUACGCAGUUCCUCCCGGGCAACAGGCGCAACAUCAUCCGGAUCGGCUCCCGCUCCCUCAAGAGGUUGGUUAUCGAGGGCAUGUCCAGCCCGCACCACCGGCUGUGCCUCACCGCUACCGCCCUUGUUUCCUUGAACAUCGACACGCCGGUCGCCGUGGAGGAUGAGAUGCGGUCCCUCGCCGUGGCGUCCGUCUCAUGCCAUGCCGGUGCACUCCUUCUCUUGAAAUCGCUCCGCAGCGCCACAGCUUUGGAACUGAGGAGAUUCACCACACGGGCAUUGGUCGAGGAGGAACCGGAACUAUUCCGAGAGCACCAUAACCUGAGGACGUUGGUCCUGACUGAAUGUGACAUCGGGGAUGGAUGCCAGGUUGUGGCGCACGUGCUAAAGAGCAUCCCGAAUCUGGAGAGACUCGUGCUGCAAGAUUGCAUGAUCUCAGGGAGUUGCAUGAUGGCCAGCCGCCGAGGGGCAGCACUCCGUGGUUGCUGCGAGAACCUCAAAUCGAUACGGGUCAAGUAUGAAGGGCACGAUGUCGUUCAUGCCCCGAUUGCCGCAUUAAGGGGGAAAUCAAAGGAUGCGGUCAAGCUACACCGCGGCGAAAGACCAACCAGUUCCGUUGAGUGGCACCACUGGCUGAAGCGUAUCGCCUUGUGCAGCAACCAUGCAAUUCAUCUCAGCCAGCGAUAUGUAGCUUCCAUCACCACUGGGCCUGAGUCCGAUGAGGAGCACGAGUCCACUGCAUGGAAGCACCGCGCCAGCAAGAAGCAUGCGAGGGACAUCGCCAUCAAGGCACGCCGAAGGGGGCGCCUUGCCCGGUUCUGA